rnacentral:rRNA from 1 species
AUACGGAGGGUGCGAGCGUUAAUCGGAAUUACUGGGCGUAAAGCGUACGUAGGCGGUUGGUUAAGUUAGAUGUGAAAGCCCCGGGCUUAACCCGGGAACUGCAUUUAAAACUGGCGAACUAGAGUUGAGUAGAGGGGAGUGGAAUUUCAGGUGUAGCGGUGAAAUGCGUAGAGAUCUGAAGGAACACCAGUGGCGAAGGCGACUCCCUGGACUCGAACUGACGCUGAGGUACGAAAGCGUGGGUAGCAAACGGGAUUAGAAACCCUUGUAGUCC